UCUUUGCUUGAGUUUCCUCUCUCAAAGCUUUGAUUAUGCUACCACCCUUUCCAAUUACACUACCAACUUUUUUGGAUUGACAAAGUAUACAAUAGGUAGUAUCUGAACUGUGAGAAUCUUCAGAUGACCAUUCACGACUCAACUUUGCAUUUUUACUGCCUCCCCUCCUCUUGAAUUGGGGGUUCGAGCGUUGCUUGAGAAAAUUUCUUUUGUAUUCGUCCAUGACUAGAUGGAUUCAAUUAUUCUCAACAAAAAGAACCUUCUUACUCCCUCGGGCAACUUCUCCUUGCUAUAGCACUUAUUCCAACAAGGCUAUGACCUGAAAAAGAAAAAUAUUUAGCAAGAGACAGAGAGGGCAGUGACACAAACAUCAACGAGUUAAAAAACUUAUAAGGUACAAUUGCAUCCAUUCUUCAAAAAGGGUAUAAAAGCCUCCAUAAUUAUUGAUAGGGUAUGCAAGGAGGAAGACAUUUCUGUUAAACAUGAGUGUGGCUUAAGUUUCAAACAUCACACUAACAGAAACAAAACUAACACAUAAUAUCAACAUUGCAGAGUGUCUCUAGCUCAGUUUAAUUUGGAGACCUGUCAGUGCAUUGUUCUCAUGAGUUUAUUGCUUUACCAGUCCCCAUCUAUUUUGACCUUUGCAGCAUAUAUAUUCUUAAUAAUAAUCAGAGACUAAUGCACUUCAGGUUAAGUCAAUGGUAUGAGGUUUGUAACCAGCAGAAACAUACCUUGUCAAAUAAGUAGGCUUGUCCCUUCUUUAAAAAGCNAUUAUUACAGUUUCACUCUUAUCCUCAUUUUGUACUCCCUGCAAGUCUUCCUCAACAAUCCUAUUGUGAACUUUUAACAGAGCAUCUUGUGCUGCACAAUGUGGCUCCAUUGAACCAUUUUCUUCUUUUUUCUCUGGAUUAUCACUGUUCUUGUCAUUAUCUUGUCUCCUAGCUAGUUUCGUAGAGGGACUAGAGAUUAUUACUAUUCUAUCAUCAGAACCAGGAACACUGUCAGCAACGGUUAUCUUUGCUUGAGUUUCCUCUCUCAAAGCUUUGAUUAUGCUACCACCCUUUCCAAUUACACUACCAACUUUUUUGGAUUGACAAAGUAUACAAUAGGUAGUAUCUGAACUGUGAGAAUCUUCAGAUGACCAUUCACGACUCAACUUUGCAUUUUUACUGCCUCCCCUCCUCUUGAAUUGGGGGUUCGAGCGUUGCUUGAGAAAAUUUCUUUUGUAUUCGUCCAUGACUAGAUGGAUU
rnacentral:lncRNA from 1 species